AUUGAACGCUGGCGGCAGGCUUAACACAUGCAAGUCGAGCGGAGCGAGGGUGCUUGCACCUUAGCUUAGCGGCGGACGGGUGAGUAAUGCUUAGGAAUCUGCCUAUUAGUGGGGGACAACAUUCCGAAAGGAAUGCUAAUACCGCAUACGCCCUACGGGGGAAAGCAGGGGAUCUUCGGACCUUGCGCUAAUAGAUGAGCCUAAGUCGGAUUAGCUAGUUGGUGGGGUAAAGGCCUACCAAGGCGACGAUCUGUAGCGGGUCUGAGAGGAUGAUCCGCCACACUGGGACUGAGACACGGCCCAGACUCCUACGGGAGGCAGCAGUGGGGAAUAUUGGACAAUGGGCGGAAGCCUGAUCCAGCCAUGCCGCGUGUGUGAAGAAGGCCUUUUGGUUGUAAAGCACUUUAAGCGAGGAGGAGGCUACUUAGAUUAAUACUCUAGGAUAGUGGACGUUACUCGCAGAAUAAGCACCGGCUAACUCUGUGCCAGCAGCCGCAGUAAGAC
rnacentral:rRNA from 1 species